AGCUCGUAGGCGGCUUGUCGCGUCUGCUGUGAAAACCCGAGGCUCAACCUCGGGCCUGCAGUGGGUACGGGCAAGCUAGAGUGCGGUAGGGGAGAUUGGAAUUCCUGGUGUAGCGGUGGAAUGCGCAGAUAUCAGGAGGAACACCGAUGGCGAAGGCAGAUCUCUGGGCCGUAACUGACGCUGAGGAGCGAAAGCAUGGGGAGCGAACAGGAUUA
rnacentral:rRNA from 1 species